UCCCGGGCACCUCAAAACCCCCCCGAACCCGCCCCAAGCUCCCCCAGGUCCCGGCUCCGCCCCUCCCGGGUCCUCCCGCCACGGCCGCGGCCACCGGAGCAGUUUUGGGGUCCCACCAUGAGCUGCUCCCUGGACCUGGAUCAAGCCCCCACCCUGGAUGAGCUGCUGCGGGGCUGCGUCGAUGCCUUUGAUGCACAGGGGAAGGUUCGGGACCCCCAACUCGUCCGGCUCUUCCUGGCGACCCACCCCUGGUACCUCCCCCAGGCCGAGGUGGCCGGGAAGCUGCUGAGCCUAUAUCCUUGGGGAUCCCCCGGGA